rnacentral:tRNA from 1 species
CAUUAAGUGACUGAAAGUAAGUAAUGGUCUCUUAAACCAGUAUAUGGUAGCUAACAUUUACCCUUAAUG